UUGGCCAGGGCUGAGGAUUCAUUUUCCUUUGCAAAACCAGGGAGGCAGCAGAGCUUUUCUGCUCAAGCUCCCACAUUGCCACGCAUUUGCCAUAGCACAAGUGUCAUGAGGUGGGAGCCACUGCUGUCCUAUCUGGAAACUGGAUGUGCCUCUGCUGUUCUGGAUGGAGUUGGUAUGGGAGAAGCUUCCAGGGGAUUCCUGAAGUUUGACUCAUAGCCAUGGCUGGUUAUGUAGGUACUAUGUUACAUGUAGGAGAAUGAGACAACUGUACUCCUGCUCAUGAGAUCGUCACAUGAAGUCAAUUGGAAAACAAUGUGGAGAGGGAUAGUUCAGCGAUGGAGCCCUUGUCUAGCAUGUGUGAGUCCUGGUUCAAUCUCUAGAACUGAAAAAAAGAUGACAAUGGCAUCAUCCAACCUUUGCCCUGAGAUUUUUAUUAAUGUAAAUAGAUGCUUGAGUGGAUGCCCUUAAGUUCCCCAGAUUUUGAGGUCAUCACGUCU